rnacentral:rRNA from 1 species
GAAAGCCUGACGGAGCAAUACCGCGUGAGGGAGGAAGGCCCUUGGGUUGUAAACCUCUUUUCUCAGGGAAGAAGAAAUGACGGUACCUGAGGAAAAAGCAUCGGCUAACUCCGUGCCAGCAGCCGCGGUAAUACGGAGGAUGCAAGCGUUAUCCGGAAUGAUUGGGCGUAAAGGGUCCGUAGGUGGUGAUGUAUGUCUAUUGUCAAAGGUUCUGGCUUAACCAGAGACAGGCAGUAGAAACUGCAAAACUAGAGUGCAGUCGGGGCAGGGGGAAUUCCUGGUGUAGCGGUGAAAUGCGUAGAGUUCAGGAAGAACACCGGUGGCGAAA